rnacentral:lncRNA from 1 species
GGAGCCCAGUGCCCUGACCUGCCCCCCACCCCCAGGGACCUGCCUACCUUCUUCACCUGGGAGUUCUCCAGCCCAUUCCACUUUCCCAACCUGGGGUCCUUGAGGGGGAGGCCUGGGCGCCUCAAACCCCAGAAAGCAGCAGGUUUUGAACCUUUAGUUCCGAGAGGGGCUGGAUCAUUCUGGAGAAGGGAGACUAUCCUCGCUGGAGCGCCUGGAGUGGCAGCAGCAGCCACAACAGCAACCAGCUGCUGUCCUUCCGGCCAGUACUCUGCGCGGUGAGCACAGCCCACUUCUCCUCCCCUGCCUCCUAGCUCCAGGCCCCGGCCUCACCAUGGCACCUAGAAAGGCUGUUCAAGCCCUGCAUGGGGGGUGUGUAAACAAACUCCGAGAUGGGUGGUAGUAGCAUUAUUUCUCAGAAUCAGAAGGGUGUCUCCAAGAAAGUUGGGAUUGUGGGCGUAGGCCCGGAGCCCAGAAAUCAUCACCACGGACAGCGCUGAGGCCAUCCCAGUCCUGAGCGCCCAGGGUUCCCCCACAUUCCAUCGUCCACACGUGUGAGUGAGUGCCUCUGUCGUCACACAGCCAUGUGAGGUCAGGGUGACUGCUGUUAGCCCCAUACACAGGUGUGGAAAUGGGGCUCAAAGGGACAAAGUGGCUUGCCCAGGGUCACUGAAAAGAGUCAGUCUCAGUGUGUUUGUGUGUGUGUUAUUGUGUGUGUAAGCGUGUGAUGCCCUGACAUGUCUAUUCUGAUUCUGCCACCCAGUACCUCUUAGCUGGGCACUAAUC